rnacentral:rRNA from 1 species
GAUGAACGCUGGCGGCGUGCCUAAUACAUGCAAGUCGAGCGAACGGACGAGAAGCUUGCUUCUCUGAUGUUAGCGGCGGACGGGUGAGUAACACGUGGAUAACCUACCUAUAAGACUGGGAUAACUUCGGGAAACCGGAGCUAAUACCGGAUAAUAUUUUGAACCGCAUGGUUCAAAAGUGAAAGACGGUCUUGCUGUCACUUAUAGAUGGAUCCGCGCUGCAUUAGCUAGUUGGUAAGGUAACGGCUUACCAAGGCAACGAUGCAUAGCCGACCUGAGAGGCGGAUCGGCCACACUGGAACUGAGACACGGUCCAGAGUCCUACGGGAGGCAGCAGUAGGGAAUCUUCCGCAAUGGGCGAAAGCCUGACGGAGCAACGCCGCGUGAGUGAUGAAGGUCUUCGGAUCGUAAAACUCUGUUAUUAGGGAAGAACAUAUGUGUAAGUAAAUGUGCACAUCUUGACGGUACCUAAUCAGAAAGCCACGGCUAACUACGUG